rnacentral:rRNA from 1 species
GAUGAACGCUGGCGGCGUGCCUAAUACAUGCAAGUCGAGCGAAUGGAUUAAGAGCUUGCUCUUAUGAAGUUAGCGGCGGACGGGUGAGUAACACGUGGGUAACCUGCCCAUAAGACUGGGAUAACUCCGGGAAACCGGGGCUAAUACCGGAUAACAUUUUGAACCGCAUGGUUCGAAAUUGAAAGGCGGCUUCGGCUGUCACUUAUGGAUGGACCCGCGUCGCAUUAGCUAGUUGGUGAGGUAACGGCGCACCAAGGCAACGAUGCCGAGCCAACCUGAGAGGGUGAUCGGCCACACUGGGACUGAGACACGGCCCAGACUCCUACGGGAGGCAGCAGUAGGGAAUCUGCCGCAAUGGACGAAAGUCUGACGGAGCAACGCCGCGUGAGUGAUGAAGGCUUUCGGGUCGUAAAACUCUGUUGUUAGGGAAGAACAAGUGCUAGUUGAAUAAGCUGGCACCUUGACGGUACCUAACCAGAAAGCCACGGCUAACUACGUGCCAGCCGCCGCGGUAA